ensembl:lncRNA
GCUGUACGUCUCAAUCCAUAAUCCUUCCCCAAAAACCUCACCGUAGUGCCGCCUACCACUCCCAUGGCGUUCCCAGCCUGUGCCGGGCUGGGCCUGUACUCUGAUUUAUGAGGCAGUCCUGUGUCAUACUCUCAACCUGAAAAGGAUUUCUUCUCUUAUGUGUACCAGGGUGGUCAGGGCAGCUCUCUGGAAAGACAGAAAGCCCCGUCUCCCGGGCCUCAAUCACCAGAGAGUCUUCUCACCCCUCUGAGCCAAUAACCAGGACAUUUUGGACAUUACCAGAAUCAGACGAGUCUUCAGUGUUUCAAUAGUGGUGUGUUUCAGCAGUGCAGAGGUCAGAGUCCAUGCAACCCGUGCCUACACAGCCGCAUGGCCAUAAUUUGCUCUCAGGUCAGGCCGAGGGCCCAGCAGGCUCCCGGCACAGGUCACAGAGGGCCUCAACAUCCCAGGGAUGAGAUUCCAGACUGGCAUGAAGAAGAGUGUUUGAUGUGGACCUGAGCUGGGCUAUGUUACCAUGUUGCUAUGCCUUUAAUUAGCUCCAGCAGCUGCUACUUCCUGGUGGACGGGCCCUGGCAAACCGCAGUGUCUCUGUAAUCCCUCACAGCUUGCGCAAAGACAUCUAAACCCCGGGAAAUUACCCUCCGAGGACGGACGGCUUGAAAUUGAUGCCAGAGCAGAAGAGCGCACCUUGCUCCCCGCUCUCCUUUGUCACACCCAGGUUGGUGGAUCUUUCCUUAAAACUACCAGAGAUGAAAAAACUGGGAGACUUGGCAGCUGGCUAGGGCAUACUAAUACCCUGGACUCAUUAACUUAAUGGGGGCCAGAUUCCCCGCGCUGAAUCUGCACUGAUGCCCUUUGAGUUUGCCGGGGCCACAGGGUGUGCAGCACAUUGAGAGCCCUGACCGGCAUAUUGAACGUAUUUUAAUGGAAACCUUUUUUAGACUCGCCGCCGUUAAGGCCCCGCACCUCUCUGUGUGAUCUCGUCAGAUAGCCACUCUAUCCUCAGAUUCAGGCCCGGAGAGGGGGGAGGGGACCUCGCGCGUUAAAUCAGGCCAGAGGUGGCCGUAUCUCAACUGAGGCCAUUCUUUGCUGGAGAUGUGGAUCCUGGAGACGUGGCUCUGAGUGAGCUUUGAUGUAUUAACUUGCCCCGCGUAGGACUGGAACAGGAAGAGGCCGACGUUCAGCGGGAUUGCCUCUUAUUGGACAGCCGUCUACAGAGUGUUGAUUUAACUACUCAAUUCUACCAUUCACCUAGCCACUUAAGGCUGCACUAUAAAAUUGAUUCAGUGCCACAUAUGCCCAUUAUAGACAUAAUUGCCCAAUGUGAAGACUCCACUGCCAAUCACUUCAUUAUAGGCAAGCCUCAGGAUUAUAUAGAAUCCAAUAAGGAUGCUCUGAAUUGCAAGAUGUGAAGGGCAACUAAAAAAGAUAUUGUUUUUGAUGGCAAUAUAUUGAUACCAUGGGAGGAAUAGAAUAUUAAUACAUGAAUUUAGCAUAUUUGCCCGACAGCAAAAAGAUGAAUUGAUAAGAAAAGAAAGCUGGUGAAUUUGCAUGACAAAAAAGUCCCUUUAGAGUACUAAUAUAUCACCCUCAUGGAUAACAGAAUUGCAUGUGCCAGAUGUUGAGAUAGGGAGAAUUGAUCUUCGAUGAUAUUAAGAUAUUAAGCCUUUACUAUUUUGAGCUUUAAGUGAUAUAGGAGUUAGGUAUCAGCAAACAAAGGCGUGUAUAUCUUUACUUGCCCUUAGCUGAGAGGACUAUAAUCUUGCUUUCACUUCUUCUUGACUGCGUGCUCUUGAACGCCACGAAGCAGGAAAACCUGUCCGACAUUGAUGAGAUUAUACGCGGUCAGGAAUGAGCGGGCAGGACUCAUCCCCGCGGACAGAAACACCCUUUAACCGCAGCAGAAUAAGUAGAGUGGAUACUGACAGGAAGAUGCAUCGUAUGAGACAGACAACGAGGCUCCAGCUGCCGAAUAUAAUGAAUAAACAGAAAUCCAGUCACGCUAAAAAUGGCUGACUCAUGUUCGCAGCAUAGGAGCGAUCGCAUUUCUCAAAUACAACUCUCUCUCUCUCUCUCUCUCCCGCUCUAUUGUGCCCUCGACGUGUGGCAAAACAACACCAUGCAUACCUUUUAAAGAAACCCAUGUUGGGAAACCAUUGGAUUCUCAUAGCUGGCUUUUGACAGUAAUUAUUUCAUGAAGUCUUUGAUUUGAAGCUUGAUCGCCACAGCUGCAACAUCGGCGGGUACGUCUUCUCAUUAGCGAUUCCAUAAGCAGAGAGCAAGGAACUGCUGUAGCGGCUCCCACUUACAUGCCUCCCACUCUAACGUGUGGUGGUAAUUUAUUCUCUCCACAGUGCUCAUCAUUCUGAUGCAACUCACACAGUGACAGGAAUCCAUCUCUGUGGUACCCGGCAACAAAGAGGGAGGUGGGCUAAAGGGAGGGCGGCGCACGUAUUCCUGCUACCACAAUCAGAGGGGAGAGGAGCGGUUGCCAGGCAGGUUUAGAACAUCCGUACAGGCCACAUUUGUGCCAGGCGGACAUCCUGUGAACACUAGAAGCAGAGCGAGGAGGUAAUAACAGUUCGCCGGCUGCGAUUUGAUCGCAUGUAAGCAAUCUUCUUCUGCCAAAUACUUUCUCAGAGUAUACGGCUCAAGCACUUCAAAGUUGAGUACUAUAUAGAGAGUAUGAUUCAUUUGGCAGCUCAUGUUGUCCAGCUUCAAAAAGCUAAAGCUAGUCAGAGACACACUGUGGGCUGUUUUCAGCUUCAGAGGAGGGAAAGAAUUUGGCUUGAGCUUAGGCCGCCCAUCCCCAUCCUGGGAUGGGCUCUUUUUCAUCUUAUCGUGGUCUUAGCGCAUUGGCGUGGCGACUAUGUGCUUCACAGGUGGGAGUCUGCCUCUGUCAAAUAAGCCAGUUCACUAAGGACGGGAUUUGCCGCUGUUAUUUUUCUAUUAGGGAAGAAUUAUGUUAAGCCUUUAGAGGCCAUCUUUGUGUUGCUAUGGCAGCCCAUAUUUCCUACCGGGUUGAGACCUUGAAUGACUACAGUGCAAAGCCAAGUAGCCCCCAGACCCUUUGAGGAUUAGAACCAGGGUCUCAUAGUUAUGCAAAACACCUCUGAUAUGAUUGAACCUUGAAUAGUUGAAUGACAAAGUUUAUUGAGAUUGCCUCUCUUUUCAUCUGAUUAUUGUCGUCUGAUUAUUCCCAAUCACUUGGCGUGGCUUCAAACGCAGAUUUUCAAAUGGCUAUUGUUUAGGACAACACUGAGAGAUUUUUUCUCUCACAUGUCCACAAACCUCAUUUCGUUGACUAUUGGAACAAGGAAGCAUGAUUCAUGGUGGUAGAAAUGAAAUGCAAAGACAUUCACCAUCCUGAAAAGGAAUACAGCAAACUGCUUCUCAAUAUACGGCAGCGCUAAAAAUAUCUGUGCAUGUUAAUUGUUGAUUUCCUUACAUUGAGCGUUUUAGAUUUUUGAAAAAUGUCCAUCACAAGCUUGUGUAAACCAAGGCUUUAUCUACAAACUGCUUGUUGGCUUCCAUCAACAUCAAACAACAGUCGAUUCUAAAUCAUAAAACUCAAUAUGUAUCAUGGUAUGAUCAAUGUGCUGAUUACAUCCAUGACACUGCUGCCCACUCAAAGCCUCAUAUUCAGUUUGAGCUGAGUGUUCAUCCAUAGAUCCGAGAUCACCUUUUUGUAAUUCACAGACUUGGGAAUUUCCUUCACAUAGUACCCAAAAUGCAUUUCAGCCUCCUAAGCUAAAGCCUCCGAGUUGCUGUGAGCAUCAAACACAACAUCUUGCUUCUGAAAGUGAUUUUACAAACCCCGGGUCCCGUGCAGCCAAAUCAAUGGAAAUUGUUUUUUUCCUUCUGGAAUUUUGUCAUAACGUCCCCAACUGUUUUCAGACCAGCCAUCAAAGGCUCGACUCGACUCGCAGACAUGUAUAGACAGCCACUCAGAGCUGACACGGGGAGGAGGCUUUGAACGUAUGAGAUUGACACUAUUGUGGUCACAAAGCACAACAGGAAACGACUUUGAAGGGGAAAGCGCGCUCUGUAUUGGAUUUCACUUUCGAAAUGGUGGCCGGAGACGGGCCCAAGUAUCAGGCGCGUUGGAUUGGUGUAACAUAAAACACGGAAACCAGACACGGGCGCCGCACGCCACUUCUGCAGUGUCCAAAACAGAAGUGUGAGGAGGUCCAAACUUUUGGUAAACCGCGGAUGAAUACACGCUGAAUCUUUUCUUAAAUCGGAGAUUUGUUGCACACCGUCUCUUCCUUCUGUAUCUUGGGACGUCGCUGGCUUGUGAUGCCAAUGAAAAGUUGACAAUAUAUCCAAGAGAGCGGUACUUUUUUGACUUCACAAAGUAAAACGUCGCCAUCAGAGCCAUGUCUUGUUGGCAGUUUGGGAAUUGAUCAGUCUCAAUCCCGAGCUGCAUGGUUGUCAACUGGCAGGUCUGCUGGAGAUGACAGAUUUUCCGACAGUGCCUUGUCAAUGGCUGCACUUGAGUGAAAUCCCCAGCCAUCUUGGCUCACCGCUGAAGUCAUAUCCAUCAUCGGAUUCUUGACAAAUUCGUCACAGCCGUCUCUCAAUCUAAUUGGUCUUUGAGGUUCCUGUAAGACAAAGACUUCUAAUCUCAGACAGAGUGUGUGUGUGUGUGUGCGUGUGUUUGAAAAGUGCUUGCCAUUGAAUACUUCUCUGCUCUUUGAGCCUGUGUUCAGCGAAGUUUGAAAUACAUGACAGUCUCAUUUUAGGUGCUCUGAUGUCACACAGUCAUUCUGGCUUAAAAGUUCACUCAAUAUGAGGUUUGGUCUACUUUGAUGUCUCUAGUGAAGCGGUUUUAGCAUGCUAUAUCUUCCGCCGCUGUUCUCUGUCACCCACUCCUGCAAAGACUGACGGGAGCUGCCGGAGAUGGGGCUCAGCCAUUUCUUCCUGGUGACUACAAACUAAAGACACGGGGAAGGUGAACUCAGGCAGCACCGUGACAAGCAGAAUGUUGCAACUUCUGCUGGAUGCAUCGUAUUAUCGAUAAAUGUUAGAAGCUUCUUCUUUUUCAAACAGCAUGCAAGACAAAGAUGUCCAGCACCUGUUAGGGGUGCAUUUUAUCAUUCAUUUACAUCAUAUAAAACACUGAUGAGAAGAGACAAAACAGAAUAACACAAGUCAUUUAUGACACACCAAAAAGUAAAACAUGUUAAAUUUGUUGUAAAAAGUUGCAAUUCGUUUAGUUCCUUCUCCUUAUGCAACAUAUACUUUUUUCUAUCUGAGGGAGAGAUUGUGGAGAGAAGGGGGGGGGGGCUACGUGAUGAAGAUCUAGUAAUCUUGUUUUAUGCUCAUGACGGCGCGAGGAGAUCCUCCGCCCCCCUGCGACGUAACGCUCACCUGAAGAACCCCCCCGGAGCUCCACGUGACUGCGCCGCCGCUCGCAUCUCCCUGUCUUGAGAAUUGGGAUUUAGUGGAGGAUUAAAGCAGAAUAUUUCAAUUUAGCGGCGGAAUUUACCUGGCUGUGCCAAAGUAAUUACCCCUUCUGGAUAAACGCUAUUGUGGAAAAACCCAUUUACGAACGGCGAAUAUAUAAACGGCUCAAAGUCAAAUGAAAAGAGGAAAUGUAAUGAAAGCAAUUUUAAAUAUCGCAAGGCAGAUGCCAGAAAUCUUAUUGUAUUACCUUAAAGUCGCGAGAGAAUGCUGCAUUCAGUGUGAAAAGACUGUGUCCACAACUGAGAGGAGAUCAUUUUUAAUCUUCUUCUUUUUUUUGAUAUUGUGAUCGUGAACAGAUAGAGGAAUAGUAUUUGAUGCGUUAAGGAAAAGCAAACAUGAGUCUGAAAUGUCUGUGAUUAAUUUGUAGCCUGAUUAUAAUUGCAAAAGAAUUCUGUGCGUCACUAUUUAGUGUAGUGAACAGGCCUCAUGUAUAACAUAUUAAAACAGAAAAAAAGAAGAGAAUGACAGCAUUUCUUUAAUUUGUACAUUUGGUAAAAUCCGUUGUGAAAACAUGAAAAACAAUUACUUGUCAAACUGAUGAAUAUGUAAAUCAUAAAUAGGAGAUAGAAAGUACGCCAGAAACAAUUAGCUAAUAAUACUUUACCCGAAUAUGCCCUAAUUUACAAUAUUAGUGCGUUUAAAGUCCUGUUUCAAAACGAAUUUCCUUCACAAGAAAACGUGACUUCUGGUGAACAAAACACGUGCAUCUAAUAUUUUAAUAAUAACGCAAUCAUAUCGAUCCUAAUUCUGCCAGUUCUGCAGAGUUGAGCCAUCGCAUUUGUUUUAGUAAGGCCUGGAAACAAUAAACCUGCACAUCACCCUUUUCCAAGCAGUUUAAUAAAUAAUAAAAUCUCAAAUUGGUAAUAAUGUAUUUUAAGAUUUGAAACCGGAAUAAGCAAUAAAUAAAUAAAUAUGCAGAUGCUAUUUGAAAAGAGAAAAUCAUGCUUUUGAUAUCUAUGCAUUAACACAUUAUCUGCAUUGAAUUCAAACUCUACGAGUGGGUCAUUUACGUUGCCUUUCAGUCAGAGAGAGAGAAAUAAAACAGUGGCGUGUCCGUCUGUCCGGGCUGAAAUGCAGGGAAGGAGACAGAGGCCCUCUGUGUGUAUAACCCGUGUAAACAGGGCCGCUCGGCAUUGUGUAAAGUGGGUGGAUUAGCCGGCGGCUUUUGUUGGACGUGGUGUGUACACACGGACGCUGAUUCAGCUCUCCUGAAGCCAUUUCGGCCCUCACAACCUUAAGGAAGUCUUGCGUUACCAAACCUUCAGCCGGAUGUGAUCUAAAUGGGUCCCCGUUGAAACGGUGUCGUCAUGAACUGAUCGCACGAGGCCCUGAGUCGGUUUAAUCGCCACCGAACCGAGACCUUUUAUUAUCGAAUCAAAAAAAGAACCCACCGACGCCUCAACGACUGAUUUGAGUGACGUGAAGUUCGUCAGUGAAAUGAGUCCGCAUGCUGAACCUCCUCCACGGCGCGCGCGCACACGUCUCAGAGCCCACCCGCCGCGCGUGCACCGCGCAUGGCGGAUAUCGAGGUGUAAAUACAAACAAUUUGCACAUUUCCUAAUAAUUGCAGUAUUUGGACCAAUUAGGCCAGAUAAUCUAACGGCUGGUUUAUUAUCUGUGGUUAAUUAAUCGUUGUAUCAAUCAUCCUAAUAAGAUCCAUCCCAAUCAAUUAAACGAGGACUUGUAAUCCUCACUGUCAAGCGUCCCCGCCUCCACGUCGGGAAAGGGAUCCUUAUUUUAAAAUUCCUUGAUUUUGCAACUUCGCAGAUGCAACGCAGUCCCCUCUUUAAUUUCAUCAACUUGUUUCUAUCCCAAACUUUUAUUGACUCUCUCCAUUUCGUGCUGCCUUAUUGUGAAUAUGAAAUUGAAGUUCUCUGAGAAGAAAGAGGAGACUCUGUUUCAUCGGGCACCAAUUAAAUCGGCCUAUAUGUAACUUCACGACACUUUGAUCAUUUUAAUGACUAAAUAAAGAAGGUCAGAAUAUUUAUAAUGAAGAAAGAGUAACCAGAGUAGCCAGGAGGCCUCAAUGUGUUAUCAGUAUUAUCAGUAGCAUCCACCUGCAUCUAGCACGGAGCCUUCCGCUCCUUUUGAAUGUUUUCGUCCAAUUGAGUUUGAAUUAUUUAAUAUGUCUAUUUAAUUUAUAAUUUGCUGCAUGAUAUUUAAAUCGAGCUGCUGAUUUAUUUAAUCGUGAAAGGUAUAUGAAACAAUGUGUAAUAAACAACACGAAGGGUACAAACGUGUGAUCAGAAUUUAUUCCAUGGUAUGAUUUUGUGUUAUUGUCCGACCCAUUGUUUCACACCUGCUUAAACCAAUAAACACAUAAAUCAUCUUCACUUCAUCCAAAUUGUGCUUGUCACCAUCUUCCUCUUCAGUGACACAAUAUAGUAAAAGGAGUAAAUAUUCGUAUUGAUGUCAUAAUUACAAUAAAACAAACGUUUUGCAUCUUUGGCUUUUCAUUGUGUAUCCGUUAGUGUCUUAAAAAUACCGUUUCCAUUAGGCUUAAGAUCGCCGACACGCACGCGCUGACUGACUUUGAUUGCGCCUAAUUGGAAAUGAUUUGCGUCAUCGCGUCUGUUUGUGGGUGAAUCUGCUGAGGAUGGUUAUCAACACGUGUCGGUCGCCUCUUCAACGGGUCAUCGCAGUUUCUCCCGUUUCUUCAGACUAACCAUUCUAUUUGUGUUUGUAUUCAGAACCCAGACAGGUAAGGGAUUAGAUCCUGUCACAACAGGGAGCUUUGAACCGAACGAAGGGUUAAUUGUCUUCAACACACAAUGCGCUUGUGAAUGCGACGUUCUUCACGGCAGCGCUGUUAUUGAGAAAAAAAGCUUCCCAGAAAAGUUUGUCUUUUUCAUUUUUUUCUAAAAAUAGCAAAUAAAAGAAAGAAAGAAAGAAAAUAAUGGGAGCUUUUGUUAUUGUGAGUAUUGUAAAAAAAAAAACUGUAAAGUAAAUACGCCCCUCUCUCUACAUAUGACAGAGGGUCUUAAUUAUACAUCAGUUCAAAGACUUAAGGAUUUUGCUCCCCUAUCUGUUCCUAUGAGAUACUGACCAACAAUUAGGGGAAUAAUUCAGCAGCUAUACUUCAAAGUACAACGCUGCAUAAGUCACAGGUGCAAUAAAAAAAUGCAUCCUUGCAAUCCCAAGUUUUUAUUGCAAAAAGGGUUAGCGUUACAAUGUGGGAACCUGUCUGCUUUCCUCCCAACCGGGAUCAGUUAAGAUUCCCGUGUGCUUGUGACAAGAAGAAGAUGUCCUGCGAAAUGAAGCAGAAUCUGACAUGAAAGACUCAUCCCUGCCUCCCCUCCUUGAAUGUAAGAUAAGUACUUUGAGAGGUAUGUGCCAGAGCCACGAGGGAAUGAGCUUUACUCACAGAUGUAACACGUUUAAACCUACUGAUGCAAUGAAAGCUUUACAUUCAAUGGACAGCAAGGGAAGAUGAGUCAUGCGUAUUUUGUCUUUGAUGAACAUUAUUUGAUAAGCCAUUAGAAUGAACUGUACAAAGCUCACAUUAUAUCUCACUGGAUUCUUAGAGACACGGUCAUUUCAUUAUUUAGCGUGGAAAUGUCCAUGGAGCUAACUGCGCCUUAUUUCUGCCCGUCCCGUAGUUGUCUUUUUGUUUGACUGCGCCUCCAUGUGCCCCUGUGCCAAUGCGAGUGCGUGCCCAUAUGUGGGGGUACGAGUGCUCCACUGUUACUCUGUGCCUGUGUGUGCGCCCAUGUGUGUUGUGUGCAGCCCAUUAGUGGAGUUUAACCCCUGUGUUCAGGGAGUCACAUCCCCUCAACCCACCGGGCUCCAUUCUUACUGCAGCACGUUAACAUUUUAUUCUCCCCCCCCCUUCACUUUUGUCCUAAGAGGGCAAUUAAGGAAACAAACGUUUUCCCCAAGAUAAGCUGGCUGCCAGCUUUGCAUACUAAUGCAUUGCCAAGUGGUUACAAAUAGUGAGUGCUCUAAUUACUGCCACUGUUUUCAAUCAGAAAUUGCUCAAUUUCCCAGGAUGAGGUCUCCAUGGCUGGAGAAAAAAAAAAAAAAGAAGAAAAACCUGACAGAGGCAAGAGACAAUCAUCUCUAUGUGGAUUUUGUCUGUGCGUGUGUGUGUGUGUGUGUGUGUGUGUGUGUGUGUGUGUGUGCUUGUGUGCCUGCAUGUGUGUCCGCCUGUUGGUGCAAAUAAACUCAUCUGUUUCUCUGUGUGUAGACGCCGACGCGACCCCUUCCAUCGCUGCUGCCCUUGACGAGUCAAGAAAUGGAUCCUGACAGCCUCUACAGCAUUUAGCACCACAAUUAUCCCCUUUUCACAGCCUGGCUGCAUUAAUGUAAACCACACCAGGCAGUAGUUGCCACUCAGUGAUGAGCACAAUGUGGUGCAUCAUCGCUGGGUGAGCAAUUUGGUUCAAUUGUGCUGCUGUGUGAUCAUCAGUGCAAAUCACGGCCUGCUCAUUUAUUAAGCAAUUUCUGUUGGAGAAAAUUAGAAGGGAGACUCAUAAUUGGGCAGGAGAUAGUAAUACCUCUAAAAGCAACGAUAAUGGAUGAUGUGGCUGACAUCAAACAAAAGGAGCAAGCGAGUUAAGCCCGCAGCAACCCAUCAGGGAGGUGUGUAGCAUUGGGAAUGAAGCACCCCCCUUUGGUGUCCACCAGGAUUGUGUGUGUGUUUGUGUGUGGGGGGGGUGAAGGGUGAAGGGAGGGGGGGGGGGGGUGUAGCACAGACCAGAGUGACAAGGACUCACUCCCUGGAUGCGAGAACGAGUCACUCCGUAGGACGCUCGCAGGAUCCAUCCGUUGGCCUUAGCUUGACCUUUUGCUCCGACGGUGGCUAAUGGAGGGCUGGCCCUCGAUCAAUGCGCCGAGAGAUUGGGUUCGUUCCUCGUCCCCUUUCACCGGGCCGGGAGAAGGGCCGGCUGCUGCCAGGAGCCACGCCGCGAAGCCAUCGACCCCGCCGCUCUCCCAUCCUGUGGGUGACAGCUGCGGUGCCAACGAGCCCGGGGAAGCCACGCAGCCCUGCCACGUAGGAAGGACAGCCGGCGACUCCGUCUCCGUGGUGUCGGGAGGGAAAGUCACUGAUGAUCUGUUCGUGAAUGUCAGAUCUCCAUGUAAACAACCCCAGCAAACGCUUUGCUAUUGAGUAUGUGUUGAUAUGGAUGAAAACUGAAGAUUUGACUCGUCGAAGUGAUGUUUUUUAAUGCCAUUGUAUCCAGAUUUAAUAUGUGGCUCAUGAGGGUGUAAAAGUGUUUUAAAUCAGCAAACGCAAGCUUCAAAUGGACAGAUUCCAGCUGCUUGAUUUAAUAGAAGUCGAGUACAGGUGAUUACAUCUGGAUAAUACCGUUUUCAAAAGCUAAAAAAUGUUUUGUCAGUAUAAGAAUUGAUCAAAUAAAGCCUGACUCCAAGUGUUAGAAGUUGUUUGCAUUACUUUUGCACUUCAAAUGUUACCGUAGGGAAUAGCUUUCUUUUUUCUCAUGAAAGUUGCACUUUACAACCCAGAUGGUGCACCACUGUAUACCUUUAAUCUGCUCUUUUCUGUCAAUAAACAACGCCUGCAUUAAACGCACAAAACAAUAUUUACUGUGAAUUUUAAUUGCAAAUACUGCAAUUCGAACAUGUAAAGAUAUUCAAAACAAUAGCGGCAUAAUACAUUCAGUCCAUAUGGAGCGAGAGGAAGAGACAACCAAGAGGUUUCGCGCCGAUUGUUCUUUUUAUUAUCAUUAACAGUAAUGUGAUUCUGAAGCCUCCCGUGACCUCCUCACAGCAGCAUCUCAUCUCAGAAGUCAUUCAUUAGAACAAACAGAAGGCUGGCAGAAAGACUGCGAGAAAGAGACAUGGGGAGGGAGCAUAGUGUAAAAUAAAUUAAAUUGUGUUUAUUAGAUGAACCACUAUGAGCCGGCAAAAGAAAGCACGCUUCAGAUAUUCAAAGGAUUUAUCAUUGUGCCGUGUUUGGAGACGCAGCUGCCGCGUGGAGCCCGUGAUCCAGCUGUUGGUCUUGCGCAAUGUGUAAUCACAGUUACACUUACUGUCCAUUUUGUGUUGUAAGGUCCACAGGGAGUCUUGCAACAUGCUUCUGAGCGGUGCGUGUUUGGAUUGAGAUACAGCGUUUCUGUUCAAGACCAUAGUCGGCUGCAGGCUGUGGUGAAACUAAUCAGAAAGCUUCUUAUGUCUUCUUCCACUGAUACAACUGGAUUCUGGCCCAGUGUUUACUGAGUACGAUUCCUUAAACCGGAGUGACGGCAAAGGCCACCUCUCUCAAUGAAGUCCCCUCGGUUCCUGCUCGGCGAGAGCAGUCAGGCGGCGCCUCUUAUCGUACCAGUCCCGUCACGAUCGACCUCUAUACAUGUCCGCGUGUGCAUAUGCGAGGAUAAAAUGGGAUACGGAGCGGUCAGAGGCUCGGUUGGGCCAGGGUGACGGAAAGGGGGGGGACGGGCAUGCGGAUCCUUGGAGUGGUGUGACAGACUCCCCAGCCUCCUGGUAGGAU